GACGAACGCUGGCGGCGUGCUUAACACAUGCAAGUCGAACGGAAAGGCCCUGCUUUUGUUCGCUGCUCGAGUUGCGAACGGGUGAGUAACACGUGGGUAACCUGCCCUUGACUUUGGGAUAACUUCAGGAAACUGUGGCUAAUACCGCAUAAUAGCUCCUGCUGCAUGGUGGGCGUUGGAAAGUUUCGGCGGUUGGGGUUGGACUCGCGGCUUAUCAGCGUGUUGGUGGGGUAGUGGCUUACAAAGGCUUGGACGGGUAGCCGGCCUGAGAGGGUGACCGGCCACAUUGGGAUGGAGAUAGGGCCCAGACUCAUACGGGAGGAAGCAGUGGGGAAUAGAGCAAAAUGGGCGGAAGCAUGAUGCAGCAAAGCCGCGUGCGGGAUGACGGCCGUAGGGUUGGAAACCGCUUUAGACUGUGAAGAAGCGAGAGUGACGGUAAUGGGUAAAGAAGCACCGGCUAACUACGUG
rnacentral:rRNA from 1 species